CAUAAAGGAAUCAGAAACCACUCGAUCCCUAUCCCUGAGCGAGUUGCGAGAAAUACGAAAGGAUUAUGGUCGACACCCAGGUGAACACAUCCUCACCUGGCUGCUUCGAUGCUGGGACACAGGGGCCAAUAGCCAACAAUUAGAAGGCAAUGAAGCCAAGCAGUUGGGAUCCCUUUCUAGAGAAAUGGUAAUUGAUAAAGGAAUUGGGAGAGGGACACAGGUUCUCAGCCUCUGGAGGCGACUCCUGGCAGCUGUGAAAAAAAGGUACCCCCAUAAGGAAGACAUUGUAUAUCAAGUAGGCAAGUGGGCCACUGUGGAUAAAGGUCUCCAGCAACUGAGGGAAUUAGCGGUGCUGGAGAUGAUUUAUAGUGAUUUGGACAAUGCCCAGACACCUAAAGAUCCCGAUGAAGUCCAGUGCACAACAACCUAGUGGCGGAAGUUUUGAAACAACAAAGA